GGGUAGAAUAAUUUAAAACUUUUAUCCUAUGCUAUUUUAGAUCUAAUAUCUAUUAGAUCUAAUUUUAUUAUCUGAUAUUUAAAAUCUAAAAUUAAAUCUAAAAGUAUGAGAAGUAUAGACAUACCUCAAGGGUAAUCUGAUUACCCUGUAGAUGAUCUCAGCAUAGCCCGAGGUUCUGAUGUAGCCACGCAAGCGCCUGGCCUCUACC
rnacentral:lncRNA from 1 species